UUGGCUUUAAUGGCCACAAUCAGCCUCAACUGGCGUCUCCCCACACCCUGGCUCAUGGAGCCUAAUUUCAGCUCAGAAUAGUGCUGUCACUCCCUGCUCUAGCUAUGCUACAGCCAUCUCUGUGACUUGUUGGGGUCUUCUGUGAUCCAGGACUGACAUUUUCCUGGGAAGACCCUAGUGCAAGGCAGUCAAGCAGCCUGCUGAACCAAGUGCUCCCCAACAGAAGGAUAGCACUGCCAACAAGCUCAUCAACCCUAAGGGGUGAAGUAAUUGCUCACAUUCUGCAGCACUUUCAUCAUGUUUCCCCGGUCCACGUACUCCAUCACAAGUAGCUGUGGAUGUCGAAAUCUCUUGACUGGGGUGAGAACUGGGCAGAGCUGAAAGAGCCUUGGAACAAGAAGGAUCAAGAUCCACUCCACUACAUCUUGUACAGUGCUAGCCUGGAUUAUGAGCACAGGCCUGAGGAUAUGGCGGCAUUCAUUUAGUAAGAAGCAAAGAAAAUACCUGUGUCAGGCUGCCAGCAGUUAACAGAAAGGAUUCCACGGGAAGGGGAGGAGAAGCCAGUUCAAGGGAAACAGGUGUUUUGCAACAGAAGUUUCCACAGGAGCAGAGGCAGCGUGGGAAGAGGAAAGGAUGGGAUCUGUGCAGUAGCCAGUACCGGUGCAAAGCUGCUACAGUCGGUUCUGUCACAGAAGCGAUUCCGUACGGGAAUCGGGAAAGGCUGUCUGGGCUGCCACACCGGGCCGCAGCUGCCGGAGACGGGCGCUCCCGCGCGGCCUGGCCGCAGCCAGAGGCGCCUACUCCCCGAGGAGCCGGGAAGCCCUAAAGCACAGCUGCUCUGGCCUAGUUCCUCGUUGGCCGAUUUGCCAUAUCGCCCUUCUCCUCCCGGCGGCUUCCUGCUGCCGCCUCCUCUCGUCCGCACCGCUCCCCCGCCCGGCGCUUCCCCUUCCCCGUGAGCCCCUCCACGGCGGUGCGGGAUGGGACGGAGCGCUGUACCGACACCGAGCCACCUCACCUCGGAA